ensembl:lncRNA
UGAAAUAAGACAAAUGUAAAGUUGGCUAACUUAAGCCACUGGUUGCUAACAUUAUUGAAGAGUCAAAAGUCUGUAGCUAGUGAAGUUCCUUUUUGUGCGAUUUUACGGAUGGAUAUAAACUUUGUAUGGCAGCUGUAUAACAUAAAGAAUCUUUGAAAUGAUGUAGCCUCUUUUUAUUAGUUGCUGAGUGGGUAUGUUGUAAUAAACACAAAACACUGGUGCCUUAGCCUAUAUAGUUCAGUUUUUGAGCUUCUCAAUUUUGUAAUUUAGUUAUUUUCUCUCAAAAGGUUUUGCAGUUUUCUCUUACUUCUUCCCUCUUGGUUUAUUUAAAAACUACUUAAAGGCACUUUUAAGAGCCACGUCUGUCUUGUCUUUCUUGUUGUGUUUGAACCUUUCCUUGCUUUCAUUACCUGAACCCCCCCCCCACCGUUUGAAAAAUCUGAUUUCCAGUCUUUCUGCAUGUCUGUGUCUUUGAUGUUCCAAUAUGAGUGAUUCAGAACUCGAAGAAUUAGUCAGCAUUGCUGAUAAUAAGGAGGUCAUCGAUGACCUUGAGAGGGUGGAUGACCUGCUCAAUGAGCUGCAGAGUGAGGAAGCGGCAGCACCAGUGGUAGUUGCACCAACAGUGAGGUGGAAGAAGAGAGGCAGUGACGGCACCUUGAUUCAUGCAAGACCACGAUCAAGCAGGAAUCAGUCAACUGCUCAGGCUGUUUACCGUCAGACGACUCAUCCAACCAACACUAACUCUGAGGUGGUCUUUGCUCCAGAUGUUGGUAUGCAUGCACUCUUUUUUGGUCUCCAUUAGCCUUUCAAAGAUGUUGACAUUUGUACUUGUAUCUGUAUGGUGUAUGCCAUACAGAGUGAAGAUUUAAAUUUUAUCUUUUUGUUUUAUUACAAGUUUGCCAGAAUUUUGAUCACAGCAGUUAACAGUUGUAUUACUUUAGACUUCUUUUGUACUAUUUUAUCAGAGGAGCUUCUACAAGAUCUCCAGCAUGCACUCACAGAUACAGGAGAUGCA